rnacentral:snoRNA from 1 species
CUCCACAGCUACUGGUCUGGAACUGUUCAGAACUGUAGCAGUUGCAGGAUUCCUUCUGUGGAAGAUAAACUGUUACAUACUACUAAACUCCUCAGAUCAUCUGUCUUUUGGGGAGGCCUUUCUGUGUAACUAACAGUG